rfam:Candidatus Saccharibacteria bacterium RIFCSPHIGHO2_12_FTLL_47_16b rifcsphigho2_12_scaffold_1175, whole genome shotgun sequence.
GGAGAGAUGCUCGAGUGGUUGAAGAGGACAGUCUUGAAAACUGUUGUGCCGGCAACGGUACCGUGGGUUCGAAUCCCACUCUCUCCG